rnacentral:rRNA from 1 species
GAUGAACGCUGGCGGCGUGCUUAACACAUGCAAGUCGAACGGAAAGGCGCGGCUGUUGUGGGGUGCUCGAGUGGGGAAGGGGUGAGUAACACGUGAGUAUCCCGUCCUUGACUGUGGGAUAAGUUCAGGAAACUGGGGAUAAUACCGGAUAGGAGCUACUGCUGCAUGGUGGGGGAUGGAAAGAUUCGGCGGUGGGGGAUCGACUCGCGGCUUAUCAGCUUGUUGGUGGGGUAGUGGCUUACCAAGGCGUUGACGGGUAGGCGGGCUGAGAGGGUGACCGGCGACAUUAGGACUGAGAGACGCCGCAGUCACCUAUGCGAGGCAGCAGUGGGGAGUAUUGCGGAAUGGGCGGGAGCCUGAUAUAGCAACGUCGCGUGCGGGAUAACGGGCUUUGCGGUGUGAACCGCUUUCUCCGGAGACGAGGAGGGAGUGACGGUAACUGGUAAAGAAGCACCGGCUAACUACGUG